CCGCAGUGUCCAGCAUGGCAGGGCCUGGCGUGGCCCCCGCCAUUCCUGUAGCGCUGCCAGAGCACCCGGGGCUGUUUGAGGCCGCUCCCGGCGCCUCCCGAGCGCGGUCAUAGAAUCCCCGGACAUGA